CCAGACGCCAUCUCGGGAUCGCACGCGUGGCGGCGUUGCCAUGAUAACGGGCCCUCAACACGGCCUCCCUGUAGCCUCGUCUACUCCAGGCACAAAAAUCGGUGAAAAGCAGCCAGUGCAACGCCUGGGUGGUCUCGGGGAAGGAGUUCUAAUGGACAUACCCGGGCAGAACCGUGUGGUCUGCUGCUUGAAUGCAAGCUGGUUUGCUCCAGAGACUGCCGUUGUGCUGGUCAAAUGCCUCUGUAAGCGAAAAUGGGAGGAGCAGAAAGAAAAAGAAUCUCUGCCCAUCUCCUUGCUGUUUGUGCUCAAGGUAUGGAUCCUAAUCUCAUAUGACUGCAUAAAUCAAGAGCAGCCUUACAGAUGACUCUUGACUCACACUGGAAUAAUAACAAGAACUAUUUUUACAGUGGAUCCACUGAAUCUGCUCAGUUCAGGCUGGGGAGAAUGGAGAGCAGUAGUUAUGUUACUACAGAAUCACAGAAUGGUUGAGGUUGGAGAAUAUCUGGAGGGCAUUUGGCCCAAAUUCACCAAUCAAGCAGAGUCACCCAGAGCUGACUGCCAAGGACCAUGUCUAGUUUGUGAAGAUGUCCAAGGUGGGAGAUUCCACAUUCUCUCAGGCAACCUGGUCCAGUGCUUAGUCACCUGCCCACCUAACAUUCUUUGCUGCAAGGACACACUGCUGGAAUAUGGUCAACUCAGUGUCCACCAGAAUCCCCAGGUCAUUUUCUCCAAAUUUACUUUCCAGCAUCUACUGGUACAUGUGGUUGAUCCUCCUCAGUGACAGGACUUUCCACUUCUCCUUGCUGAACUUCAUGAGGUUCCAGUCAGCACCUUUCUCCAGGCUUCUGAGGUCCUUCUGGAUGGCAGCAUUGACCCUCUGAUACAUCAGACACUCUUUCCCAUAUUUUAUGAUAAGGAAACUUACAGAGAAUGCACUCUGUCCCAUCAUUUAGAUCGUUAAAGAAAAUCUUAAACAGAACUGGACCCAGUAUUGAUCACUGAGGUACAGGGAAAAUAGUUACUGGCCUCCAACUAUAUCUUGUACCACUGUUCACCACCCUCUGGGCUCUGCUGUUCAACUAACUGCUCAUCCAGUCCGUAUUUCAACAGCUUGUCUGAGAGGAUCUUAUGGGAAACAGUACUGAAAGCAUUCUUGAAGUAAAGAACAAUACCCAUUGUUUUCCUGUCAUCUUCCAAAGCAACCAUUUCAUCAUAGAAUGUUAUCAUAUUGCUUAAAUAUUAUUUCCCCUUGGAAAUUCAAUCUGACUUCCUCUGAUGAAUUUCUUCUCCUUCAAGUUCCUGGCAGUGGUUUCCAGAAUGAAAACAAUUGGUUCCAUCACCUUCCCAGGAAUCAAGUUGAAGCUGUCCAGCUGGUAUUUCCCUGGGUCCUUCUUGCCCUUCAAGAAGAUAAAAGUGACAUUUGCUUUCCUCUAGUCCUUAUGCAACUCUCCCGGUCACCAGGAUCCUUCAAAGAUUAUUGGGAGUGACCUUGCAAUGACAUCAGGUGGUUUCUUUAUAUUCAGAAAGCUUUUCCAGCAUGGAAUUCACUACUAAAUUACUUUAAGCUCCCUUAAUAGAAAUUUCCAGGAAAUGAACUGCAAAUAAAAAUUCCUUGGUGUU
ensembl:lncRNA